rnacentral:rRNA from 1 species
UACAGAGGAGCCAAGCGUUAUUCGGAUUCACUGGGCGUAAAGGGCGCGUAGGCGGCCUUCUAAGUCAGACGUGAAAUCCCCCGGCUUAACCUGGGAACUGCGUCUGAUACUGGGAGGCUUGAGUAUGGGAGAGGGAUGUAGAAUUCCAGGUGUAGCGGUGAAAUGCGUAGAUAUCUGGAGGAAUACCGGUGGCGAAGGCGGCAUCCUGGACCAUAACUGACGCUGAGGCGCGAAAGCUAGGGGAGCAAACGGG